rnacentral:rRNA from 1 species
GACGAACGCUGGCGGCGUGCUUAACAUACGCAAGUCGAACGGUGAAGUGAGUGCUUGCACUCGUGGAUCAGUGGCGACAGGGUGAGUAUCACGUGAGUAACCUGCCCAUCACUCUGGGAUAAGCACUGGAAACGGUGUCUAAUACCGGACACGACCAACCCUUGCAUGGGGCGCUGGUGGCAAGAUUUAUCGGUGAUGGAUGGACUCGCGGCCUAUCAGCUUGUUGGCGGGGUAAUGGCCCACCAAGGCGACGACGGGUAGCCGGCCUGAGAGGGUGACCGGCCACACUGGGACUGAGACACGGCCCAGACUCCUACGGGAGGCAGCAGUGGGGAAUGUUGCACAAUGGGCGAAGGCCUGAUGCAGCGACGCCGCGUGAGGGAUGACGGCCUUCGGGUUGUAAACCUCUUUCAGCAGGGAAGAAGCGAAAGUGACGGUACCUGCAGAAGAAGCACCGGCUAGCUACGUG